rnacentral:rRNA from 1 species
AUUGAACGCUGGCGGCAUGCCUUACACAUGCAAGUCGAACGGCAGCACGGGAGCAAUCCUGGUGGCGAGUGGCGAACGGGUGAGUAAUAUAUCGGAACGUGCCCAGUCGUGGGGGAUAACGCAGCGAAAGUUGUGCUAAUACCGCAUACGAUCUAUGGAUGAAAGCGGGGGAUCGCAAGACCUCGCGCGAUUGGAGCGGCCGAUAUCAGAUUAGGUUGUUGGUGAGGUAAAAGCUCACCAAGCCUGCGAUCUGUAGCUGGUCUGAGAGGACGACCAGCCACACUGGAACUGAGACACGGUCCAGACUCCUACGGGAGGCAGCAGUGGGGAAUUUUGGACAAUGGGCGCAAGCCUGAUCCAGCAAUGCCGCGUGCAGGAUGAAGGCCUUCGGGUUGUAAACUGCUUUUGUACGGUAACGAAACGGUAGAGCUCUAAUAAAGACUUGCUAAUGACGGUACCGUAAGAAUAAGCACCGGCUAA